UACAGAGGGUGCGAGCGUUAAUCGGAAUUACUGGGCGUAAAGCGCGCGUAGGCGGCUUUUCAAGUCGAUUGUGAAAUCCCCGGGCUUAACCUGGGAACUGCAGUCGAGACUGUCUAGCUAGAGUAUGGGAGAGGGAAGUGGAAUUUCAGGUGUAGCGGUGAAAUGCGUAGAUAUCUGAAGGAACAUCAGUGGCGAAAGCGACUUCCUGGACCAACACUGACGCUCAUGUGCGAAAGCGUGGGGAGCAAACAGG
rnacentral:rRNA from 1 species